UGCCAUUCAGACCCACGAACGCACCAUGCGGUAGCCAUGUCCUCGCGUUAAGACAACGUCUGUCAUAAGUUAACUAAAUGCUGCUCGGCAUCCAUGGAGCUCCAGCCUCUGGCGGUCUACAUAGCGAGAGAAUAGAGAGAGAAGGUUGGGAGGUGUGAAGAGAGGAGGGGAGAGCGAUGACGAGGGGACUUUCAACAGCUCUCUAGUCACCGAGAACACCAACUCUGUCCUACAAAAGAAAACAACAGCACACGUUGUAAAGACUGUCAACGUUAAGGGCUGGCAGAUUUCGGGCGAUGCCCAUGACAACAGCAGCAGCUUGAGGAGGGGGCAGGAAAGGAAGGAGCCUAGACAUGAGGCGUUUGCCCUUCCUCACAGACAUGAUCAUGAGGCACUGUUCAUCACUGACUCUGUAGGGCAGACAAGAGAGAAACAAACAAACAAACAAAUAAAUAAAUAAAUAGAUAAAUAAAGAACACUUA